AGUGAACGCUGGCGGUAGACCUAACACAUGCAAGUCGAACGGCAGCACAGUAAGAGCUUGCUCUUACGGGUGGCGAGUGGCGGACGGGUGAGGAAUACAUCGGCAUCUACUUUUUCGUGGGGGAUAACGUAGGGAAACUUACGCUAAUACCGCAUACGACCUACGGGUGAAAGCAGGGGAUCUUCGGACCUUGCGCGAUUGAAUGAGCCGAUGUCGGAUUAGCUAGUUGGCGGGGUAAAGGCCCACCAAGGCGACGAUCCGUAGCUGGUCUGAGAGGAUGAUCGGCGGCACUAGAGCGUGAACACGGUCCAGGCGCCUGAGAGAGGCAGCAGUGGGGAAUAUUAGGCAGAGGGCGCAAGCCUUAUCCAGUCAUACCACGUCGGUGAAAGAGGCGUUCGGUUUAUGAAGACCGUUUGUUGGGAAAGAAAAGCAGCAGGUUGAGACCCCGCUGUUGUGACGGUACCCAAUAAAUAAGCACCGGCUAACUACGUG
rnacentral:rRNA from 1 species